rnacentral:rRNA from 1 species
CCUACGGGCGGCAGCAGUGAGGAAUAUUGGUCAAUGGGCGGGAGCCUGAACCAGCCAAGUCGCGUGAGGGAAGACGGUCCUAUGGAUUGUAAACCUCUUUAGGCGGGGAGCAAUGCCGGGCACGCGUGCCCGGAGGGAGAGUACCCGCAGAAUAAGCAUCGGCUAACCCCGUGCCAGCAGCCGCGGUAAAACGGAGGAUGCGAGCGUUAUCCGGAUUUAGUGGGUUAAAAGGGUGCGUAGGCGGAUUUUUAAGUCAGCGGUAAAAUGUGCGGGCUCAACCCGGGCCGGCCGUUGAAACUGGGGAUCUUGAGUGGGCGAGAAGUAUGCGGAAUGCGUGGUGUAGCGGUGAAAUGCAUAGAUAUCACGCAGAACUCCGAUUGCGAAGGCAGCAUACCGGCGCCCGACUGACGCUGAGGCACGAAAGCGUGGGGAUCGAACAGGAUUAGAUACCCGAGUAGUC